GUGAGAGAUCGUAACGCACAGAGACUGCCGGAUGCAUACGAAAGCCUACCAGCAGGGAGUGACAGUGCCAUUUUUCUAUUACCGUCUCAGGUAUUGAAGAAGCGGCAACAGCCACAGAAAGUAGCCAUCUUAUCCAGCACGUUAUGGGUAGAACUUGGCGGCUCCUGCUCCUGCCUUCCACCACCACCCUGUCCCGACUGCUUCCACUAGAGAGUUGGCAACCUUAGUGAUGAUGCCAAGCAGUCCGAUGGCAGACGGCAAGAUGCAGGUUGCUGCGAAAUUUUACCCGAGCUGGGCCACACACUUGAGCCAGGCCUCUUGGAAAGGAUGCCAUAAUCAGACUCCACGCGUCGAUGUCAGAGGAUGCCAGGGAUCAAGGCAACCUGUUGUGCCCCACUAUUCAAUGUUUGGUGACCCUUCUAUAUGUUUCACCUAUUUCGCAGCUGUACCUCGGCUGCCAUCUAUCCAAACAGCAUCGCCAGC